AUUGAACGCUGGCGGCAGGCUUAACACAUGCAAGUCGAGCGGAGACUUCGGUCUUAGCGGCGAACGGGUGAGUAAUACCUAGGAAUCUGCCUAUUAGUGGGGGAUAACGAAUCGAAAGGUUCGCUAAUACCGCAUACGUCCUACGGGAGAAAGGGGGGGAUCUUCGGACCUCUCGCUAAUAGAUGAGCCUAGGCCGGAUUAGCUAGUUGGUAGGGUAAAGGCCUACCAAGGCGACGAUCUGUAGCUGGUCUGAGAGGAUGGCCAGCCACACUGGAACUGAGACACGGUCCAGACUCCUACGGGAGGCAGCAGUGGGGAAUAUUGGACAAUGGGGGCAACCCUGAUCCAGCCAUGCCGCGUGUGUGAAGAAGGCCUCGGUUGUAAGACGACUUAAGACGAGGAGGAGGUACACUGUACUAAUAUUA
rnacentral:rRNA from 1 species